GUGAGUUAAGCUGAGAUCAUCAGACCAAUCACAGCUCACCAAACUUCCUCAGCCUGAUCCUUCACUUACAGCAUUUCAACUCUACAAACAUGGAAAAACUUUCUGUUCUUUUACUGUUUUCAGCUGUUUUAGGUUUGUAUGAUUCAAAGAUUUUAAUGAUUAAUAAUUUAUGUAACUAUGAAAACAACUUUCAUUCUAAUGUUUAACAUGUGAAAACUCAUUUAAUGCAAGAUGGUCAAUAUAAUCUACAUCUGAUCAAAUCAAUUUAUGGGAAACUUUUUGUCUUCAGGUGUCAGCUGUGAAGAUCUCACUCCACUGGAGAAAGAAAAGUUCAGUUUAGAGAGCAGCUCAGUUACUCUGUCCUACAAUUACUCCAGAGCUGCUGCUUCUAAUGAUUAUUUCUUCUGGUAUCGACAAUAUCCAGGAACACCACCACAGUUUCUCAUCUCUCACUCAGGAUCAGGCACAGCCAUAUCAGAUCCAGUCCCUAGACUGUCUUUUCAAGUGAGUGAGGAUAAAAUCCAUGUGAAUCUACAGAUCUCCUCUGCUGCAGUGACUGACUCUGCUGUGUACUACUGUGCUCUGAGGCC